UACGUAGGGGGCAAGCGUUGUCCGGAAUCAUUGGGCGUAAAGCGCGUGUAGGCGGCUUGAUAAGUCCGCUCUGAAAGCCCGGGGCUCAACCCCGGGAGGCGGGUGGAUACUGUCAAGCUCGAGUCCGGAAGAGGCGAGUGGAAUUCCUGGUGUAGCGGUGAAAUGCGCAGAUAUCAGGAGGAACACCAAUGGCGAAGGCAGCUCGCUGGGACGUGACUGACGCUGAGACGCGAAAGCGUGGGGAG
rnacentral:rRNA from 1 species